rnacentral:rRNA from 1 species
UACGUAGGCAGCGAGCGUUGUUCGGAGUUACUGGGCGUAAAGCGUGCGUAGGCGGUGGACCAAGUCUGGUGUGAAAUCUCCCGGCUCAACCGGGAGGGUGCGCCGGAAACUGGUUCGCUGGAGUGCGGGAGAGGCAAGCGGAAUUCCAGGUGUAGCGGUGAAAUGCGUUGAUAUCUGGAGGAACACCCGUGGUGCAGACGGCUUGCUGGACCGUGACUGACGCUGAGGCACGAAAGCGUGGGUAGCAAACAGG